GACGAACGCUGGCGGCGUGCCUAAUACAUGCAAGUAGAACGCUGAAGCGAGGAGCUUACUCUUCUUGGAUGAGCUGCGAACGGGUGAGUAACGCGUAGGUAACCUGCCUUGUAGCGGGGGAUAACUACUGGAAACGAUAGCUAAUGCCGCAUAACAAUGGAUGACACAUGUCAUUUAUUUGAAAGGGGCAAUUGCUCCACUACAAGAUGGACCUGCGGUGGAUUAGCUAGUAGGUGAGGUAAUGGCACACCUAGGCGACGAUACAUAGCCGACCUGAGAGGGUGGACGGGCACAAUGGGACUGGGACAAGGCCCAGGAUUCCACGGGGGGGAGGAGUAGGGGAUUUUUGGGAAUGGGGGGAAACCUGGCCGGGCAACGCCGCGUGGGGGGAGGAGGUUUUCGGGUCGUAAAGCUCUGUUGUAAGGGAAGAAAGAGUGUGAGAGUGAAAAGUUCACACUGUGACGGUAGCUUACCAGAAAGGGACGGCUAACUACGUG
rnacentral:rRNA from 1 species